GCACUGUUGAGGAGUCCCACAAUAGGACGGAACAGUCGUCCAGUGC
rfam:Schistosoma mansoni strain Puerto Rico chromosome 7, complete genome